rnacentral:rRNA from 1 species
UGUCUAUUAAUUGUAGACCAGCAUGAAAGGCAAAAUGAGGGUUUAACUGUCUCUUAUAAUAAAUCAAUUAAACUGAUCUCCCAGUAAAAAAGCUGGAAUACCCACAUAAGACCAGAAGACCCUGUGAAGCUUAAACUAAACUAUUAAACCUCAUAAUAAUUACUUUCGGUUGGGGCGACCUUGGAAAAAAAAAGAACUUCCAAACACAGUGACUAUAACUCACACCCACACCUUAAGGCCUACAAGCCUCCAAACGACCCAGCACAGCUGACAAUUGAACCAAGUUACUCCAGGGAUAACAGCGCCAUCUUCUUCAAGAGUCCAUAUCAAAAAGAAGGUUUACGACCUCGAUGUUGGAUCAGGACAUCCUAAUGGUGCA